UUAUUUAUUAAAUUAGAUUCUAGUUUAUAUAGAUUUUUAUUGUGAUGUAUUUAAUAUGUAAGUUUUUGCGUGAAAUAAAUAUUAUUUAAAUAAUUUAUUCUUAUUUAAUUCGCAGUUUUUAAUUUUAUGUAUUUAAUAAUUUAAGACAUAGUUAAUUAUUUUUUUAACUAGCUAAAAUUGUGCCAGCAGCUGCGGUUAUACAAUUAGUUAAAAUUAUCUUUAUUGGAUAUUUAUUAAUUCUAUAAUCAUUGAGUAUAAUAUUGAUAAUUUUUAGGUGAAAUUUGAAUUUUGAUUUAUUACUCAGGUAAAUUUUAAUUAUAAGAAAUUUAUUUGUUAAACUAGGAUUAGAUACCCUAUUAUUUUAAAUGUAAAAUUUAAUUCUUAAUAUUAUAAGUUAAGAUCUUUAAAUUGAAAGAAUUUGACGGUAAUUUUAAUCAUUUUAGAGGAACCUGUUCUGUAAUUGAUAAUCCACGAUGAAUUUUACCUUAAUUUAUUGGUUUGUAUAUCUCUGUCUGAAUUGAAUGUUUUAUUAGGAAAUUUUCUUUUAUUUUUAUGGAAAUUUAUGUCAGGUCAAGGUGCAGCUAUAUUAAGGGUUGAAAUGGGUUACAUUUAACUUUUAAAUUAUUGGAUUAUAAAUAUUUAUUUGUUUUAUGAAAUUGGAUUUAAUUGUAAUGAAUAAAAUAUAUUAUUCAUGAUAUAUGUUCUUGAUUAAGUACAUAUCGCCCGUCACUCUCAUUAUUUAAAUGGGAUAAGUCGUAACAAAGUAGCCCUAUCGGAAGAUGGGGCUGGAUUUAU
rnacentral:ncRNA from 1 species